AUUGCAGGCUGAAACUCGCCUGCAUGAAGUCGGAAUUGCUAGUAAUCGCAGAUCAGCAUGCUGCGGUGAAUACGUUCCCGGGCCUUGUACACACCGCCCGUCACACCAUGGGAGUCGGUAACACCCGAAGCCUGUAGUCUAACCGCAAGGAGGACGCAGUCGAAGGUGGGAUUGAUGACUGGGGUGAAGUCGUAACAAGGUAAC
rnacentral:rRNA from 1 species